ACUCAGCUCACUAUGGAGUCAGAAUGGGUCAGUCUGAAACCAGUAAGGAGGGUAAAUACGAAAUUGUUACAGCUCUACAACUACAACCUGCAGAGCUGCUCAUGUAUCAUGGUCGUGUUCCCACUCGUACCAACAUGCACCCGCCAUUACGGCGUGGCUGUGUGUAAAUGUACGAGCGUACAGGUCGUAAUGGAGGCCAUGAAAAGAAGAUUAGCUGGAGCUGUUACAGCAGACCGUCUGGGGACCGCCAUCAUGAGACUGUGGGGACCAGCGCUUGUUGUGUGAGCUGGCACCCCUCUGGCUUUCUGUAGCUGUCCACAUGAUUGACAUUAAUGGUCUAGUUUUCAGAAAGAAUGGUUAUCCUGCAAACUGGUACACCUGCAAAUUCUUUCUCUGUAUCGUCUGACUUGAUUCGCCACUCCUCCAUCCAGCAGAUAGGAUGGUGGUGGAGUGGUUUUGGCUGCAGAAAGAGUGUCUCCCCUGGGCAGCAGAGCAGCUCCUGUCCCCUCCUCUCCCUGCAGCUGGAGCUACCAGAGCCAGAUGCUACGUAGCUCCACCACCCUCUGUCCCCCCUUUCUCUCUUCCAGGAGGAUGGUGCCCAGAGAGGAGGAUGACAAACAUCUCUGCCUCCUCUUACUGACGGAUUUGGACGACCUGACUCCAGCCCUGCACUGUUCCAACCGCCAGCACAAGAUGUUGACUUAAUGGAAGGGGGUUGGCUGUGGAUUGGCCCAUAUGUGUUUGUAUUGGGAAAAUAUGGCAGGGUGGUGUGUCUGUGUAUUCAAUAGGAUUGUGUGUGUUGUGUGUUGUGUGUGUGUGUGUUCACCUAGCCCAGACUGCCUACAUCCAUCAUGCCAUGGUGCUCUGGCAGAGAGUGGGACUCAGACAGCUUCACUAACACACGGUCAGUUAAAUUGCCUGUUAAAUUGUCCUGGUCUGCAGCUAUCUUAGGUGUAGAUAAAAACACUGCACUUAAAGCCUGCACUUAAAGGCAGAAAUUGUCAAGUAAAUGCCAACCUCCUUCCAUGCAUAGAGAGAAAAAGAGAGGGACAGAGGGAGAGAGGGAGAGACAGAGAUCCUCUAAGGGAAACACAUUUCCAUUACAAGACAAAAUUCUGCGACACACACACACACUGUGUCUAUUGUAGAUGCCACAACUGUUAGCCUACUUAAGAGUUAUUUCUCAACCUAAAAUAUCAACAAUAAUCUUUAUAUUUUCAUUGAAUUAUGCUGUUUAUACUCAGAUAUUAUGACCUAUGUAUAUUAUAGUAUAUAUUCCAAAAACAAACACUUCUUUUUUUACUUUGGAAGAUUCAAAAAAUUGUCCAAGAAGCCAAUAUAUGUUGUCCAUAUGAGAUCCAGGCUCACCUGAUCAAUAGGCUAAAUUAUGCAUGAGCAGCAAAACUGUAAUACCUCUUCAUCAACCUUCACUGUGCUCCCUUAAUGAUUAUAUCACAGUCUCAAUCCAAUACGUUUGACAUUUCUCUCCAUGCAACCAGAUGGAAAAUUAAGCCUCAUUCUUUUAACAUUACUGGGGUAUUAUGAAUAAUUGCCUAAAUCCUACUUGUGCACCUGGAGCAGAAAGCUUUAGGGAAUUGCUCUCCUGUAACCAGUGAUGUAGUGCUAAAAAAAGGGUGGGUUAGUUAAAGCCUCUGGUCAGUGUUUGUCAUAAAGACAACUGCUAAAAAUACAAAGGAAAAGCAGUUAUACUUCAUUUCACAUGAAUUUAGAUUUUGAUGAUUUGUUACAUUUAUACAAUUGGUAAAAUCUAGAGAGGAAAACUUUCUUAAACUCUACACUACAUUAACUGACUAAAACUCAGCAGUCUGUUAGUUAAAAAAUCACACUUAAUGCUCUGAAAUGUUUACUAGGUUUUGCUUUGGUUCUGGAUUUGGCCCAAACGUCAAAAUGGUAACCUUUGUGUGUAUUCAAAUGGAUUUUAAAAGACUAAUACGGAUUCAUUAUUUAUACUAGCUUUAUAUUAAUGCUAUCUAAAAUUACUUUAUUAUUUAAUGGAUCUUGAAAAUUGGGAUUCAUAUAAUUAGCCAUCGGGUGAAAACCUGACCCCAACAUUUAAAUAGUCUAUUGACACACAUGGGUCUGUUUUUUUCUAUUAUACUCAAAAUAAUCAUGUUAGAUCCAUAAAUACUUACUGUAAAUAGAAAAACUAUUUUUGUUCUUUAAACAUCUCUAUAUUAUCUAAGUAGAUGUGUCUGAUGCAUGUUCUACAAUAUUUAAGACAUUUCUAGCAGUAUUAGAACCUUGAUAAGUAGAUGGAUGGACGUAGUCUGCCAACAUAAACUCAGUAAUAUAGAGGUCAUCUCUAUUGACACACCAGGGAACUACAUACAUACAUUAACUGCAUCAAUGAACAAUGUGUGACAAUGACUUUAAAAACAUCAAUAUUUGUCAGCAGCCAUUAAGAUGUUGAUGUUUGCAUCAACCCAUGGAAAUAUUUUUAUUUAACAGCUCCAAUGUGUAACAAAGA